rnacentral:rRNA from 1 species
GAUGAACGCUGGCGGCGUGCCUAAUACAUGCAAGUCGAGCGAACGGACGAGAAGCUUGCUUCUCUGAUGUUAGCGGCGGACGGGUGAGUAACACGUGGAUAACCUACCUAUAAGACUGGGAUAACUUCGGGAAACCGUAGCUAAUACCGGAUAAUAUUUUGAACCGCAUGGUUCAAAAGUGAAAGACGGUCUUGCUGUCACUUAUAGAUGGAUCCGCGCUGCAUUAGCUAGUUGGUAAGGUAACGGCUUACCAAGGCAACGAUGCAUAGCCGACCUGAGAGGGUGAUCGGCCACACUGGAACUGAGACACGGUCCAGACUCCUACGGGAGGCAGCAGUGGGGAAUCUUCCGCAAUGGGCGAAAGCCUGACGGAGCAACGCCGCGUGAGUGAUGAAGGUCUUCGGAUCGUAAAACUCUGUUAUUAGGGAAGAACAUAUGUGUAAGUAACUGUGCACAUCUUGACGGUACCUAAUCAGAAAGCCACGGCUAACUACGUG